CGACAAGUGGCGAAAGCAGACGUAACAGCGUAGUCUUGAAUAAAGACUACAUAUCCAGUAACAGAGUCAAACAGUACGGCAAGGAAGAAACAUUUUUCUGCGUCAGGGUCUUUGGAUCGCUUCCGAAUUACGUUAGGGAUUACCAAAUUCAUGGACCGGAGACCUCGAGAAGUCGCUACUCCCUCAGAUGGCCAGAUUGCGGAAUAAGAUAUAUGAAUGAGCAGCUUGGCAGUGGUUCCUGCGCAGAAAGUAGAAGACAGUUCUCCAGUCCUUCAUCUGAACUUGCUUUCCACAACCGGGGCUUCAAUGGGAGGACCGGCGGACCGCAAAUGUACAAUACUGCAUUACAGAAAACAAGAGUAUGAAGACUUCUUCAGAUCUGCUACCCUUCACAAAGGAAACGCUUCUUAUUCUCUUUAAGUAAACAGAGAAUGAAGAUUUGUGAGAUUUUAAGUCGGCAAGUGAAUUUUAACGAUUUGUUCAUGUUCGGACACAGACCAUAAGCAUUUGGAACACGAUAUAAUGGAACUUCAUUAACUGGAAUCAGUGUAGUGCUCCGGUAUUUGUGGCUGGCUCAUCGGACUGCACCGCGGUAGGAAAAUAUUCAACAAUAUGGCGACCAGUGAAGUGUCCAGUCACUGCUGUCUAGGACUUGUUACUGUUCUCAUGCCCUCCACUGAGUAAGAUCAUGCCUCUUCCAACUUCUUGGCCAUCUACUUAAUGGUUUUCCUAUGUACUGUUUGCUUUUGCUUCUUACUAGGAAUAUCUGGCACAUAAAAAGAAGUUGGCUGUCAAAAUUUAAGGGGAAGAAAUAUCAACGUAGUUAAUUUUGGUGGAUGAAAUGCGGAGAGAAAGUUGAAAACUGCGCAAAUUUCGUAGUUCCGAAACCCCUUUGGAAUACGCGACAUAUUUCAGGCGUUUGUUGGGAAUGAAUAGGUAGUGGAAAAAGCGUGAUAUCGAUUCUGUGUGCCUUAUAUGAAAGUAUUAUGUACGUAUUCUUGUACUUAUCGAUACUUUCUUAAGUGCGUAGAUUGUGUAAGAUCGAAUAAUGAAGUGACUGGUAAUUUUCUUUUUCGCUGGCUGUACAGCCCCCUUGGUCCCUGGUCUCUGGUUUUCAGUUUCAUGAUCAUUUUACAGGCGGUAGGACUCCUUAGGCGAGUGAUCAGCUCGCAGCAAGGCCUCUAUAUAAAAACAGGAAAACACACAGAAUAAACACAUAAACAUGCCAAACACCCAUGCCUUUUGUGGGAUUCGAACCCACAACCCGGUUUCCUAGGAUCGAAGAGAGUAUAUGCCUCAGACCGCUCGGCUACCAUGACCGGCGACUAAUAAUUACAAAUUGAAAAUAAUGGAAAGUAAAUUUGUUGUGGCAAUGUAGAAUUUUGAGAGGAAAUGUGGAACAAAGGUAAUAGAACAACUACCUCCAUGAUUAGAUACGAAUUUGGGUCAGACAGAAUGCAAACUAAAGUGCCAGUAUCUCAUAUGUUGAUUUCGGUUAAAACAUAAUUUUUUAUUCAAUUAAAUAUUUGAAAUGUACUGUUAUGUACCUUUCCAGAUAAUUUGUUUUGUGUGUGUGAAGUUUCGUUCAUAAAGAUUAACUGAAUACAGAUGGGUGAAUUAAUGUUGGUUUCUGGAAGGAGGAAGAAA